rnacentral:rRNA from 1 species
UACAGAGGGGGCAAGCGUUGUUCGGAAUUACUGGGCGUAAAGGGCGCGUAGGCGGCCUUCUAAGUCAGACGCGAAAUCCCCGGGCUCAACCCGGGAACUGCGUCCGAUACUGGAAGGCUUGAAUCCGGGAGAGGGAUGUGGAAUUCCAGGUGUAGCGGUGAAAUGCGUAGAUAUCGGGAGGAACACCAAUGGCGAAGGCAGCUCGCUGGGACGUUACUGACGCUGAGACGCGAAAGCGUGGGGAGCAAACAGG